rnacentral:tRNA from 1 species
GUUGUGGCUCAGUGGUGGAGCGCUCGCCUAGCACCUGCGAGGCCCUGGGUUCGAUCCUCAGCACUACA